UUAAUUAUAAGAAAUAAUAUUUAUAAUCACGAAGUUGGUGGAGCUAAUUAUAUUAUAUAUUUAUAGAUAAUUAGAUGUUGCAUAAUUAAUUAAAUAAUAAUUAGGGGUGAUAGGCUUUUCACAUCCAACGAUAACUUGAUGGUUUAAGAAAUGUACUAGUACAUAAACACUCUUAAAGUGAUAAGGUUUUAAGAGAAUAACAAAUGAUUUUUAAUAAUAUGUAUUUUAUUUAAUCAUUAAUACGUUUAUGUUAUAAUAUUGAUUUAUUAAGGUUGUUUUAAUUAUUAACCAAUGAAAAUAAUUAAUAAGUAUACAUAUAUAAUGUUAAUAUUAGUAUUAAAAAGUUGUUAAUAAUGAACUCGGCAAGAAGUCUUUCAACUGUUUAUCAAAAACAUAGCUAUAUGAAUUAAUAUAUAGUGUUUUCUGCUCAAUGAAUAUUAAAUAGCCGCAGUACUCUGACUGUGCUAAGGUAGCGCAAUCAAUUGACUUUUAAAUGAAGUCCAGUAUGAAAGAAAUUAUGGGGGGCUACUUUCUCAUUAAUAAUAAGUGAAUUUACUUAGGAAGUGUAAAUUCUUUUAUAUAAAUAAUAGACGAGAAGACCCUAGAAAUUUUAAAGAAGUAUCUUUUUGUUGGGGCAACAAAGUAGCAUAAUAAACCUACUGAAAUUACAUGCAAGAUAUAUCUUGACAGAUUAAAUUACUCUAGGGAUAACAGCAUAAUUUGUUAAAGUUUGUGACCUCGAUGUUGGAUUAGGGAAUUUAAAUUUAGAAG
rnacentral:rRNA from 1 species